rnacentral:rRNA from 1 species
UGUGGAUAGGGGUGAAAGGCCAAUCAAACUUAGUGAUAGCUGGUUCUCUCCGAAAUAUAUUUAGGUAUAGCGUCAUGUUAGAAGUAUAAGGGGGUAGAGCACUGAUUGGGCUAGGGCGUAUACCAAUGUACCAAACCCAGUCAAACUCCGAAUACCUUAUAUGAAUUCAUGGCAGUCAGGCAUAGGGUGAUAAAAUCCUAGGUCGAAAGGGAAACAGCCCAGACUACCGACUAAGGUCCCAAAGUUCUAUUUAAGUGGAAAAGGAUGUGGAGUUGCUUAGACAACCAGGAGGUUGGCUUAGAAGCAGCCAUCCUUUAAAGAAAGCGUAACAGCUCACUGGUCUAGCGAUUCUGCGCCGAAAAUAUAACGGGGCUAAAAUAGACACCGAAGUCGUAGAUUUGUACUGAUGUACAAGUGGUAGGAGAGCGUUCGUAUCAGCGUUGAAGGUAUACCGGUAAGGAGUGCUGGAGCGAUACGAAGUGAGCAUGCAGGCAUGAGUAGCGAUAAAAGAGGUGAGAAUCCUCUUCGCCGCAAACCCAAGGUUUCCUACACUAUGCUCGUCAUUGUAGGGUUAGUCGGGUCCUAAGCUGAGUCCGAAAGGGGUAAGCGAUGGCAAAUUGGUUAAUAUUCCAAUACUAACAAAUAAGCGCGAUGGGGGGACGCAUAGGGUUAAACGAGCUCACUGAUGGAAUAGUGGGUCGAAGGGCGUAGAUUGGCCGGAUAGGAAAAUCCGCUGGCUGUAUUCGAGACCUGACAGGCUCUUAGAACUCUUCGGAGGGACAAGAGAAUCGUUGAUACCGUCGUGCCAAGAAAAGCCUCUAAGUAUAUUAUUUGUUACCCGUACCGUAAACCGACACAGGUGGGUGAGAUGAGUAUUCUAAGGCGCGUGGAAGAACUCUGGUUAAGGAACUCUGCAAACUAGCACCGUAACUUCGGAAUAAGGUGUGCCUCCUCUUGUAUAGGAACUUGCUUCUAAAAGCGAGAGAGGUUGCAACAAAGAGUCCCUCCCGACUGUUUAUCAAAAACACAGCACUAUGCUAACUCGUAAGAGGAUGUAUAUGGUGUGACGCCUGCCCGGUGCUUGAAGGUUAAUUGAUGGGGUUAGCGCAAGCGAAGCUCUUGAUCGAAGCCCAAGUAAACGGCGGCCGUAACUAUAACGGUCCUAAGGUAGCGAAAUUCCUUGUCGGUUAAAUACCGACCUGCAUGAAUGGCGUAACGAGAUGGGAGCUGUCUCGACCAGAGAUCCAGUGAAAUUGUAGUGGAGGUGAAAAUUCCUCCUACCCGCGGCAAGACGGAAAGACCCCGUGCACCUUUACUAUAGCUUGACACUGCAGUUGGGAUACAUUUGUGCAGGAUAGGUGGGAGGCUUUGAUGUGAUGACGCCAGUUGUCACGGAGCCAUCCUUGAGAUACCACCCUGAUGUAUUCUGAUUGCUAACUUGCCACAGUUAUCCUGUGGGAGGACAAUGUCUGGUGGGUAGUUUGACUGGGGCGGUCGCCUCCUAAAAAGUAACGGAGGCUUACAAAGGUUGGCUCAGA